rnacentral:ribozyme from 1 species
CAGCAACAAGGGUGCGCAACUUGGCAUCUUUUUUGGCUUGUCACAAUUUUUUUUUUUUUUUUUUUUUCAAA